rnacentral:rRNA from 1 species
UGGGGAAUAUUGCACAAUGGGCGCAAGCCUGAUGCAGCCAUGCCGCGUGUAUGAAGAAGGCCUUCGGGUUGUAAAGUACUUUCAGCGGGGAGGAAGGGAGUAAAGUUAAUACCUUUGCUCAUUGACGUUACCCGCAGAAGAAGCACUGGCUAACUCCGUGCCAGCAGCCGCGGUAAUACGGAGGGUGCAAGCGUUAAUCGGAAUUACUGGGCGUAAAGCGCACGCAGGCGGUUUGUUAAGUCAGAUGUGAAAUCCCCGGGCUCAACCUGGGAACUGCAUCUGAUACUGGCAAGCUUGAGUCUCGUAGAGGGGGGUAGAAUUCCAGGUGUAGCGGUGAAAUGCGUAGAGAUCUGGAGGAAUACCGGUGGCGAAGGCGGCCCCCUGGACGAAGACUGACGAUAAGGUGCGAAAGCGUGGGGAGCAAACAGG